GACGAACGCUGGCGGCGUGCUUAACACAUGCAAGUCGAACGGAAAGGCCCUGCUUUUGUGGGGUGCUCGAGUGGCGAACGGGUGAGUAACACGUGAGUAACCUGCCCUUGACUUUGGGAUAACUUCAGGAAACUGGGGCUAAUACCGGAUAGGAGCUCCUGCUGCAUGGUGGGGGUUGGAAAGUUUCGGCGGUUGGGUAUGGACUCGCGGCUUAUCAGCUUGUUGGUGGGGUAGUGGCUUACCAAGGCUUUGACGGGUAGCCGGCCUGAGAGGGUGAACGGCGACAUGGGGACUGAGAUACGGCCCAGACUCCGACGGGAGGCAGCAGUGGGGAAUAUUGCACAAUGGGCGGAAGCCUGAUGCAGCAACGCCGCGUGCGGGAUGACGGCCUUCGGGUUGUAAACCGCUUUCGCCUGUGACGAAGCGUGAGUGACGGUAAUGGGUAAAGAAGCACCGGCUAACUACGUG
rnacentral:rRNA from 1 species